rnacentral:rRNA from 1 species
CGGACGGGUGAGUAACGCGUGGGUAACCUGCCUCAUACGGGGGGAUAGCAGCUGGAAACGGCUGGUAAUACCGCAUAAGCGCACAGUACCACAUGGUACAGUGUGAAAAACUCCGGUGGUAUGAGAUGGACCCGCGUCUGAUUAGCUAGUUGGCGGGGUAACGGCCCACCAAGGCGACGAUCAGUAGCCGACCUGAGAGGGUGACCGGCCACAUUGGGACUGAGACACGGCCCAG